rnacentral:rRNA from 1 species
AUACUUGGUGUGAAUAGCAGAAUCCCGUGAACCAUCGAGUUUUUGAACGCAAGUUGCGCCCGAAGMCAUUAGGCCGAGGGAACGUCUGCCUGGGCGUCACAC